rnacentral:misc_RNA from 1 species
AGAGUUUGUAACACCCGAAGCCGGUGGCGUAACCUUUAGGGAGCGAGCCGUCUAAGGUGGGACAAAUGAUUAGGGUGAAGUCGUAACAAGUUAGCCGUAGGAGAACCUGCGGCUGGAUCACCUCCUUUCUAAGGAAACAGACUGAAAGUCUGACGGAAACCUGCACACACGAAACUUUGUUUAGUUUUGAGGGGACGACCCUCAAGCACCCUAGCGGGUGCGACUUUGUUCUUUGAAAACUGGAUAUCAUUGUAUUAAUUGUUUUAAAUUGCCGAGAACACAGCGUAUUUGUAUGAGUUUCUAAAAAAGAAAUUCGCAUCGCAUAACCGCUGACGCAAGUCAGUACAGGUUAAGUUACAAAGGGCGCACGGUGGAUGCCUUGGCACUAGGAGCCGAUGAAGGACGGAACUAAUACCGAUAUGCUUCGGGGAGCUAUAAGUAAGCUUUGAUCCGGAGAUUUCCGAAUGGGGGAACCCAGUACACAUCAGUGUAUUGCCUGCAAGUGAAUACAUAGCUUGUUGGCGGCAGACGCGGGGA